CACUGUACUUUCUGUCUCUGUGAAUUUGACUACUCUAGGAACCUCACGUUGAGUGGAAUCUGUGAUAUUCAGUAUUUGUCUUAGCGCCCGGCGUAUUUACUUAGCAAAAUGUCUCCGAGAGGCAACCAUGUUGUUGCGUGGGUCAGAAUUUCCUUCCUUAUUAAGGCUGAGUAAUAAUUCCAGUGUAUGUGUGUGACACAUUUCAUUUAUCCUUUCAUCUCUCGAUGGAGACUUGGGUUGCUUCUGCCUUUGGCUCUUGUGAAUAAUCCUGCUGUAAAUAAAGCAGAGCAUCUCUUCGAGGCCCUGCCUUCAGUUGUUGGGGGCAUUUAUCCACAAAUGGAAUUGCCGGGUCAUAUGGGUAGUUCUGCUUUUAAUUUUUUGAGGCACUGCUGUGCUCUUUUCCGGAGCAUGGCAUCAUUUCGUAUUCCCGCCAGCAGUGGAUAAGUAUUCUGAUUUCUCCACAUCCUCGCCGACCCUUGAUAUUUUCUGGUUUCUGGAGAGUGGCCAUCAUAAUCGGGGUGAGGUGAUAGCUCAUGGUGGUUUUGAUUUGAAUUUUCCUGUUAGGCUGUGAUGUUGGGAGCAUCUUUUCAAGUGCUUGUUGGCCAUUUGUACAUCUUCUUUGGAGAAAUGUCUGUUCAAGUCCUGUGCCCAUUUUUUAAUCAGUUUGGUUUUGUUGGUGGUGGUGGUGGUGUUGGAUUCUGAGCACAUAAUAUUUUUAAACUCAGAAAGGAAUGUUAUAAAGAAAGGGGGAGAGAGCAUCCAGAAGGCCAGUCAAGAGAGUGUAGCGGUUAAAAGCUUGGGCUCUGAAAUUAGAACGUUCAGUCACCAUAAUUAUUGAGUGCCUUCUAUAUAAGUCAGGAUCGGCUAACUAACACACGACCCUAAAAGCUCAGUGACCUAAUGCAAUAAAAGUCUUGCUCGCUUACCUCAAGUUCAAUGGGAUCUGAGAUGGAAAAAGGGUGGAAGCUAGGGAGGGUCAGUAGGUCAUCCAGGGACUCUGUGUCAUGUAGUCAUUUAGGGACCUGGGCUGCAUCCAUCCUGUGGCACUGACGUCCACAACAUAUGCCUCCAAGGUCACCUUGGGAGGGGAUAAAAGGGAAAAUUACAUAAGGGUAACUUUUUAUGGACCAGUCUUUGCCUGUCUUACAUCAGUCUAAUCUUGUAAUGCCGCCCCACCCGCUACAAAGGAGACUGGGAAACAUCCUUUUCCUGUGUGCCCAAGAGGAAGGGAAAUUGCACUGUCUCUGCAACAGUACGUCGCUUUGGUCACCAGACCAUCUCAUUCUUCUUCCCACACACAGAAAUACUCAUCCCCUUCUCUAGGGAGACAACCCAAAGUCGCCUCCAGGAUCUCCAGGUCACGUACGUUCUUUUCCCUUGAGACCACAUGAUCCGGUGAUCAGUGCACUUAGGGGGACAAGUUGUCUGCCCCACACCCCACAGCCGACACGCAGUCACGAAGUAGAAAUAACGAAACUCCCAUUGAGAAAAGGGAGAGUGCUGUAGCCCCUGGUCCAGGGAAGUGAUAGACUCCUUCCUGUGAGACAGGCUUUGUGAGGGUUCCCUGCUCUGGGAAGGGCGAAGUUCCCGGAUUAGGUUCUGGUCUGACCUCUGAAGGGCAGGCCCUGCCCAUUUUCCUCCAUGAUCUCAUCCUCACCUCACAGGAGUCUUUCCUUUCUCCUGAUCCCCCCGGACUCUACCUGAAGCGUUCUUUGGGGAGGAAGUCCUUCUCCUUGACAACAUCCAGCUCUUGGAGGUGUUCUUCUUGCUUAUGUGUCUGCCAGAGUCAAGGACGUUUUUAAGGGUGACUUCAUGACUUCUCAGGCACUAAUUCUCUCAGAAGGUCAUGGGCUUGGUGAGGUGGGGAGAACUCUGCAAAGGGCAGGCCUACUGGAAACCCGCACAGAGAUGUGGACUGACUGGCUGGACACAGGAGUCUGGCCCGUGGGGAGUAGUCCGGGCUGGAGAGGGACACUGGGGAGCCAUCACCAUAUUGCUGGCAUUUAUCAGCAGGCUGGUGCGCGUAGACAGGCCAGAGAGGAGGUCCAAAGACCGAGCCCUGGCUCACUCCAGUGGCCAGAGAGGUGAGGAGGCGCCCACCAACAGAGGAAGGGAAGGACCUGGGAGUAGGUGAAAAUCCAGAAGAGUGUGGUGUCUGGGAAGACAAGUGACGCACGUGUCUCAAGGCAGGGGUGCCGACAGGUCGCUAAGGUGAGGACUGAGGCUUGACAACGGAGGAGGCGACUGGUGACUCUGGCGAGGGCGGUUUCCACGGAGCAGCAGAGUAAGAGGCUGAGUGGCGUGGCUCCAGCCAACAAGGGGAGGGGAAAAGCGAGUGACCGUGACUGUGAACAGAAGAGUCUUGCUGCACAGUCUCCAAAUUAACAACCACCUCCAACUGGAAAUCACACUUCCGCGUGGGAGCAGAAAAGGCAGCUGUGCAGACGGACCAGGGCUUGGAAGUAAGUAACCCCACGGAGGCAGCAGGCUUUAGCCGGAAAGAACCUGCUCAGGAGGCCUGAAGAGGUUUGCACAGAUGCCCCUGGGGAAUUCGCAGGACCUUGGCUUAGCUUGCUGGCCAGACAUGUCUCAUUCUCUGGGUCCCCAGGAGUCCCUGGCUUUUUCUGUCUUUUCCUGUCUUUUCAUCUGACGCUAAAGAAACCCAGCCAUUGUUUCACACUGGAAAGGGAACAAUGCAUUUGCCUUCUCCUUCUCUCCGCCUGGCCCCCCGUUUACUGGAGACGAUGAAGACUCUAAACAGUAAUCACGAUAAAAGCAGCCCUUAACCUUACUAAGGAUAGCAAGAAUAAGGAAGCAGCUAUCUUAGUCAUUAGGGCAUUAAAAUGUACUCAGGGUGGAUAUGCUGAGAAACCAGGGCUCCUGUGUGUUUUGAUGACAAUGCUGAGGCCUAAUUUCUAGGCAAUUGCUAGAUCACCAGAUCCCUAUCACCCACAUAGAAUAUUAUCCUUUCCUAGACCAGUAGGGCCCAUGCUAUCUGCUCAAGUUAGGCCCUUUUCAUAGUAAGAGUCUUAAGUUACUUAAAAAAAAAAAAAAGUUCACUUUCAGGAUACCCGUGACAGGUGACGACUGGCAUGGGACACUAUCAGGGGUUGGGGGCUCUGCACGCUGGCCAGCAGGACCCUAGGCCCCGAGCGUCUCUGCUUCUCCCUAGACGCCCUCCCCUGUGUGUUCCCCCGCCCUCCACUGGCUUCCUCUACCUACUCACGGAUCCUGUUCUCUCCAGACCUCUCCAGAUCUCUGAGUCCCCUUCCAUCACCGACUGCCUCUUAGCUCUGAUUUCUGAGAGAGGAGUGGACUGGCCCUUGAAUUACUUUGCUAAGGCUGUCCUCAGAAUCGGGCCACAUCUGUUCUGAUCAGCUAUGGAGAGUGUGUCUUAGGCCGCACGACAUUGCCUACAAGUGGGGACAGCUUGCUUCUCCUAGAAAGGGCAAGCAUCUAUCUAAGAGACCCCAUAACAUGCUGUCCAGUACAUAGUUUCAAAUACACUGGCAUCUCAUCCAAAGCCACUGCCAAUUACUGUCCCAGAGUAGGGCAGGGCCGUUUCAGAAACUGCUUGCUCAUCACAGAGUCACUUUCAUCCCUGGUUAUGUUGGUGUCCCUUCCAGAUAUUUCUCUCCGUUCGGCAGUCCAUUUACUAAAUGGUUCAUGUAAGCACAGCCACUGUAGUUUCCAUACGACACUGAAGUAGAAAGGACGAAUUGCAUGGGCACAAAGAGCCACCUUCUCACUUACCUCCUGGACCCAGAAACUCCAGCGAUGGCAGGGGUGGCGACAUCAUCGUGACUUGUCCGCAGUCUGACGUGAGUCUGCAGAUGCCAUCAUAGCCUCACGGUGUUGGAACUCCACUAUUAGAUUAACCACCUGUGGGCAGCGGGAGAAUUUGGGGUCCCCACGUGGCCUCACUCUUUUGCCCCGCAGUGACUUUUGGUUACUCGAUGUGACUUCUGGAGACUCUGCCUGCUGGAAGAUUUCUUCCACACUGUGGCCGGUGCCUACACCACAGGAAGAGCCACCUGGCUUUCCAGCUCUGUUCCGAGGUCUCCGGAUUAACUGAGGGACCAAGAAUCCUUGCAACACUCCUUUGAGGGAGACACGCCCCUUUUUAUUAGGUCUGGGAUUUUUAUGAUGCUCUAGCCCCUGCAGAACCUGUGGGAGCUGCCCCUCAGUUUCUUGCUCUGGGGUAUUUGGGCUUAUAGAUGGAUGAUUUUACAGCUCCAUGUAUUUGGAUCACCACGGCCAGCUCUCAGUAGCUACAACUGGGCCUAAAAGACCACAGCCCCACAGCCCUCUUUGCUUCCUAAUGACCCGAGCUGGCCUCCCCACGCUAGUGGCCGGCAUGGAGUGCGAGGGCACGAGAGCCUAGCAUUUGAGUGCUUUUCCUCCUGGAUCUGAUUUUGACCUUAUUGCAUGAUGGCAGGUGGAGAGCUUUGACACACAAGUUGUGGGUGGGGCAGGCACAGAGAAACACCCACUGCAGGCUAUCAUGAUGUUGUAUGAAGUUCAACGACAUUUAAAAAUAAACCCAGUCACUUUGGCAGGUGGUCAGUGGGUUGGCAUUUCCACACACAGCGUCACUCACCCCACGGAGGGCCCCAGGUGGCCCACACUCGGCUUCCCCGAUUGGGAUCACAUGUGAGCCUCCAAAUAAUCCUGGUUUUAGGAUUCCCCGUCUUAUAACGGGGGAAAGUGAGGCAGAGAACAUUUCAGUGAUUUGUUCAGGGUGACAGGGCAAGAGUAAGGACCUUAAUUUCUUCACUUUUAGCCCUAUUUCUAGGCCUUUCGUUUGAUGUGAGAAAGUCUAUAUAAUUUUAGCAAGGAGGUGUGUCCACGAGGGGUGUUUCUCAAGAAAGGAAGGGCAGCCUCACUAAAUGCUUAAGAAGGUCAACGUCCUCUAUGCCUCCAGGCUUCCUCGUUGCCUGUCUCGGUGCCCUUGUUAUCUCUGUUAGAAAUUCACUUUGCUUUCUGCGGUGCUCAUUACACAUUGUUCUGCUGGGGCAGAACGAAUAAUUAACUCGCGGGCUUGGCCAUCCUUUUGUCCUGAGCACUUAGCGUGCUCCCUCUUUCUCCUCUGGAGAUCAAAACCUUCAUCCCUUUUUCUGGUUUCCUUUGAUGCAAGCCUUUAUGGCUGGGAGGAUGUGCUUGUCAGUUGCUGUUCUAAGGACUCACGAAGGUCAUCAUUUCGGUCCCUGCUUCUGUGAGAAGGAUGAAUUUGGAGGAAGGCAAGCCACCAGCCCUCCCCUUCCUCCACUUCGUUUGUUUGUGUGUUUACAUCAUCUCUUUUCAGCAGUCAUUGUCCUGUGUAUGAAAAUACGAACCCUUAUUUUGA